rnacentral:rRNA from 1 species
CAGUCGCCGCGGUAAUACGAAGGGUGCAAGCGUUACUCGGAAUUACUGGGUGUAAAGCGUGCGUAGGUGGUUGUUUAAGUCUGCUGUGAAAGCCCUGGGCUCAACCUGGGAAUUGCAGUGGAUACUGGGCGACUAGAGUAAGGUAGAGGAUAGUGGAAUUUCCGGUGUAGCAGUGAAAUGCGUAGAGAUCGGAAGGAACAUCUGUGGCGAAGGCGACUAUCUGGGCCAUUACUGACACUGAGGCACGAAAGCGUGGGGAGCAAACAGGAUUAGAUACCCCCGUAGUCCCUGUCUCUUAUAU